AUUGAACGCUGGCGGCAGGCCUAACACAUGCAAGUAGCGCGCGCGGCGGACGGGUGAGUAAUGUAUGGGGCCUGCCCGAUAGAGGGGGAUAACUACUGGAAACGGUGGCUAAUACAGCCUACUAUCGAAUAACCCAUAUGGGAUUAGCUAGUAGGUGGGGAAAAGGCUCACGUAGGCGACGAUCUAUAGCUGGUCUGCGAGGAUGAUCAGUAACACUGGGACUGAGACACGGCCCAGACUCCUACGGAGGCAGCAGUGGGGAAUAUUGCGCAAUGGGCGCAAGCCGGAGGCAGCCAUGACGCGUGUAUGAAGAAGGCCUGAGGGUUGUAAAGUACUUUCAGCGGGGAGGCGUUACCCGCAGAAGAAGCACCGGCUAACUCCGUGCCAGCAGCCGCGGUAAUUC
rnacentral:rRNA from 1 species